AAGGAAUUGAAUGAAAUUUUUAGAUUGGUUCGCAACCUGGAUGGCAACCAUUUGUUUGUUGUAAACAAUACCUCUUUAUGCGGAUGCUUCUUUGUAAAUAAAAGAAAAUGAACAUAAAGAAUCCUUGAGAAGAAAGAAAUCAUAAGAAGAGUGAAUUUGAACAAAAAAACAAGUGACAUAAAAAAUAUAAAAUGAAAUAAAUCGGUUUUCUUUGUUAUCUAAUUGUUAAAAAGGGCUGGUCGGUAAUUAAAUAAAUGACUGCGUCCCACCAAGAAAAAAAGAAAGACCAUUCCAUUUUAAUUUCAAAUUCACACGUUUCUUUUAUUAGAUUUUACUUUCUUUUCAAAUUCUUCCUUUAUCUUUGCUCCAAGUCAAUGAAACCCUUUGAUUAAUUUUUUCGAUUUUUUUUUUCUAACAUUAUUAUGAUUUUAAUAUAUUUUAAUGGAUUUUUUAUUGUUUCAGAAAUUUUUCGUUCUCCACUCAGCUCUCAGCUCACAUUGAAUAUAGAUCAAAGACAAUUGUCUAAAAAAAUAAUAAUAAAAUAAUAAACAUCCGAAUAUCAAUUGAAAACUGUAUCAUCCUCAUUUUCUCUUACUAUCCCAACCAGCCUUUGAUGAUAAACAUUGGCAGAAGCGGCGGCCCUUUAACUCUAAUGCGGGAACUUAAAAUGUACCAACAAUGGAUCAACUUUCGUAACUUGAUAUAUCUUUUAAAAAUCGUGUAGAUAUUAUCAAUUGCACAUAUUCUGGAAUUCCCAAUUCUUCUUGUCUUGUCUCUCAUAUUACACAACUUGUUAAGCAUAGACUAAUGCAUCUCGUCAUACAACGUUAAAAGAUAAUACUGUGUCAGUGAAUGAAAAAAGGAUGAUAAGCUGAAUAGAAAUGAAUUUCAAAAUCGCCGUAUUUAGAUUAGAAAAAUUCCUUGCAAUUUUGCUUCACCACCUUAUUGUCUUGUUUACGUUUGUAUCCAAAACAUCGAUUCAUUUCUGUGCAAGCACGCGUCCUUUUCCUUUUCCUUUCCCCUAUAAUUAAGCCAAUGUGUUUUUGUUUUGUUAUAAUUCCAUAUUAGAAAAGGAAUCUGCAAAAAAUGAAGUCUAAACACUGUCCAAACAGUCCAGUUCGCUGAGAAGUUUAAGUUUAUUACUCUCAAAAACAAAUUCAAUGGUGUACAAAACUGAUCAUCAUUCAUCCCUUGAGACUAUAACGUUCUCGUUUUUUGUUGAUCGAGCUCAAUAAUAAAUCAUUUAUCAUUUAUCAAUGAUACGUUUUUUCAAUAGCGAUUUACUUCAAUGUCAAACCAUGGUUGAACAAAUCGUAAAGCCAAUUUUAAUCUUUGCUUUUGGUUUAUCGCAAAAUCAAAUCUCUGUUUUCUGAUUGAACUUCAAGAACUUUUUUUUAAACUAUUAUUUUAUAGGAAUUAUUAGAUUUGUGAAAGCUGACAUCAAAUACGGACUUCUUUCAAAAAAAAAAAAGGAAAAUCAUUUUCUCCUAUCACAAGUAUAUAAUCCCAAAAAAAAGACUUUCCAUCAAAUUGCAAACGCUACAAUGGUUCCAUAUCCAAUUUUCCAUUGAUUUAUUUACAAUAAAAAAACUACUUCCAUCCAAUCCUCUUUGCUCAACACGCUACUUAUCGUUAUGCGAUUAUAAUGCUCACAUUCACAAAAAUUCCUCCAUGCUUGAUUUACCGAAAUGAUUUAAUCCUCAUUAUCCAUGACUGUGAGGAAUAGAGACGUCUCCCAAUUCUCCCUUUUUCUCGCCUUAGCAAAUACAGCAGGCGGGAAUGCUUCAGUCGUUCUACUAUUGAGCAGUCACGGCAUCACUGGGCUACGCUCUUGUGGACCAGCGCGCCAAGAAUCGCAAAUAUUAAAUCUGUCGAGAAC